GAUGAACGCUGGCGGCGUGCUUAACACAUGCAAGUCGAACGGAAAGGCCCAAGCUUGCUUGGGUACUCGAGUGGCGAACGGGUGAGUAACACGUGGGUGAUCUGCCCUGCACUUCGGGAUAACCCUGGGAAACUGGGGCUAAUACCGGAUAGGACCACCUUUUGCAUGGUGUGGGUGAAAGUUUUUCGGUUGGGGAUGAACUCGCGGCCUAUCAGCUUGUUGGUGGGGUAGUGGCUUACCAAGGCUUCGACGGGUAGCCGGCCUGAGAGGGUGGACGGCCACAUUGGGACUGAGAUACGGCCCAGACUCCUACGGGAGGCAGCAGUGGGGAAUAUUGCACAAUGGGCGCAAGCCUGAUGCAGCGACGCCGCGUGGGGGAUGACGGCCUUCGGGUUGUAAACUCCUUUCGCUAGUGACGAAGCGUGAGUGACGGUACUGGGUGAAGAAGCACCGGCUAACUACGUG
rnacentral:rRNA from 1 species